rnacentral:rRNA from 2 species
ACUGAUUAGAAGCUUGCUUCUAUGACGUUAGCGGCGGACGGGUGAGUAACACGUGGGCAACCURCCUGUAAGACUGGGAUAACUUCGGGAAACCGAAGCUAAUACCGGAUAGGAUCUUCUCCUUCAUGGGAGAUGAUUGAAAGAUGGUUUCGGCUAUCACUUACAGAUGGGCCCGCGGUGCAUUAGCUAGUUGGUGAGGUAACGGCUCACCAAGGCAACGAUGCAUAGCCGACCUGAGAGGGUGAUCGGCCACACUGGGACUGAGACACGGCCCAGACUCCUACGGGAGGCAGCAGUAGGGAAUCUUCCGCAAUGGACGAAAGUCUGACGGAGCAACGCCGCGUGAGUGAUGAAGGCUUUCGGGUCGUAAAACUCUGUUGUUAGGGAAGAACAAGUACAAGAGUAACUGCUUGUACCUUGACGGUACCUAACSAGARAGCCACGGCUAACUACGKGCCAGCA